rnacentral:rRNA from 1 species
AACGAACGCUGGCGGCAGGCUUAACACAUGCAAGUCGAACGCACCGCAAGGUGAGUGGCAGACGGGUGAGUAACACGUGGGGAUCUGCCCAAUGGUACGGAAUAGCUCCGGGAAACUGGAAUUAAUACCGUAUGAGCCCGCAAGGGGAAAGAUUUAUCGCCAUUGGAUGAACCCGCGUCGGAUUAGCUAGUUGGUGUGGUAAAGGCGCACCAAGGCGACGAUCCGUAGCUGGUCUGAGAGGAUGAUCAGCCACACUGGGACUGAGACACGGCCCAGACUCCUACGGGAGGCAGCAGUGGGGAAUAUUGGACAAUGGGCGCAAGCCUGAUCCAGCUAUGCCGCGUGAGUGAUGAAGGCCUUAGGGUUGUAAAGCUCUUUCGCCGACGAAGAUAAUGACGGUAGUCGGAGAAGAAGCCCCGGCUAACUUCGUGCCAGCCGCCGCAGUAAAAC